UUCUGUCAAGAACAAGCAGUAAAUGCAUUAAUGUAGUAAUUGCAGCAUAAGUUAAAAAAAUAUUAAAUUCCCUCUUGAGUGAACAUUGGAAGGAUUGUUUUCUCUUUUUUUUCUUCGAUCAGAACGUCUAUGUUUGCCUUCCACAACUUGACCACCCCCUUCUCCAGGACAUCUAGUGUUCUAGUGUCAGAUGCUGACUUCAGUCAGAACUGUCCAGGCGCCAAGCAAUGUUGUAAUGGUAGCUCAGAACACAAAGAAUGUCGGUGUGACAAUUGAUGUUUCUCUGUUCCUCCCUACACACACCCACCUCCAGGAUGGGUCAGAGUUGGAAGGUCCUGGGCUGGCCUUCAGGAAGCUGGGGACAAGUGGCAGUGGUUGUAGUUCUGGUUGUGACUGGAAGUUGACAAUGUGCUACAACUCCGCACUCCACAUGGUCACCGCAGCUGGAGAUCUUGGCAUCAGAGUGUCAUGUUCUUGACAUCUCUGAUGAAGUAAAAUAAAACCAUUGUAGAUAAUGACACAUACCUACAUUGUAUAAAACCUACAAGCAGUUAGUUCACUUCGGAGUAGGUCUGCUUUUUACUAAACAAGUCUAUUCGGGAUCAAAUAAUGAAGAGUUGAAUUGUUUGCUGUCUUUCUAAACAUUUUCCAACAUUCAAAAUCACCAUGAAAGACAAUAAUUCAAUACAUUUCCUGGUUCUGUGCCCACCCAGGCUAUAUUUUCACAGAAUUUUGCUGGUAUCUCGCUAGAAAAGCAGUCUUAACUCGUCCCAAGAAUUGUUCUCAAAAUCUUUUGCCUUAAACCAUUUAAAUGCCUUGGUGUACCUUGGUUCACCUUUCCUGACUCCACCACCCCAAUCUCCAGGACAUGCGAUAGUUUGAAGGGAAGGAGGUGACUUGAUUGUGAAGGUUUAGUUCUUUCUUUGUCCACAUUUAGAACAAGAUUGUUUACCUCUCUGAACUCACAUACCCCCAUCUCCAGGACAUGCGAUAGUUUGCAAGCCAGGAGGUGACUUGAUUGUGAAGGUUUAUUUCUUUCUUUGCCCUCAUUUAGAACAAGAUUGUUCACCUUUCCUGACUCCACCACCCCCAUCUCCAGGAUAUACGGUAGUUUCAAAGUCAGGAGGUGACUUUAUUCCGAAGGUUUGGCCUUUCAUUGCCCACAUUUAGAACAAAAUUGUUCACCUUUCCUUACUCCACCACCCCCUAUCUCCAGGACAAGCCAUAGUUUGAAGGGAAGGAGGUGACUUGACUCGACGGUAGUCGUAGAGGCGAGCUUUCCUGGAUAGUGAAUGGUCCUCUGUAUACAGUGCGGUCCAAGGGAGGGCAAGCAAGUUCCAUCUGUCGUGGAGAAAGCUUCUUUCCAUGUGAGGGACUUGUCCUUGCAGGUCCUCCUCCAGGGUCACUGUCGCGAAUUCCCACUGGAGGAGUCCCUCGUCCACACUUAUGGUCUCCCGUAUAUAUACGAAAAAGCAUUAAUACAUAUAAAAACAGGACACUUCAGCUCUGAAGUCAUCCUGUGAAACAAUACUAUGUGGACAGUCCGUCCUAUACUAUGUCCUAGCAAUCUUGGACUACUUACACACUACAGUCCUAUAAGAAGUAUGAAGUACUAACUUAUAAUAUUCAGUGUAUGCUUUCAUGUCUUUACUGAGAUUUCUCCAGUGUGUGAGACUCUCGUUCGGCCUUCUGUGUACAUCCAUCUGUCAUAGAGAUGUGUGGGUUCCACCAAACUCUUGAUAUUUGGACCUAUUGCCCUUUCCAGAUAAAUCAGGCAAUUUAUAUUGAAAUAUAUGAACCCAUUUGUUCUGCGAAAUGUCGAAACGUGACAUAUGUACAAAUACAACUCCUCAUGGAAGGCGUAUUUCUGUAUGCACAGAGUGAACUUGAUUCUUGAUACUUGCAAGUGCCAUCAGCAUAAAUAAGACCCAUAUUGGUCAAAGAAGAAUCCUGGAUUCUAAAAUUCAAAGAAAUACGUACAUAAACAAAAAUAUUACCUUGAAAUAAAAUAUGACCUAUCAUCAAUGUUUUGUAGAAAAUGUUUCUUUGCAUUGUGAAACCUGGUUACUGUCCGACUGCCUUCUUCUCGAGUCUCUACCCGCAAGUAGUAACGGACUGUAUCUUUUAAGUAAGAUAACAAUCGUCACAAGCAGGGGACGGCAACCUCACACUAGUAAAAGUGCAAGUAGUCAACAUUCAACAAUAGUAAAAGUGCAAGUAGUCAACAUUCAACAAUAGUAAAAGUGCAAGUAGUCAACAUUCAACAAUAGUAAAAGUGCAAGUAGUCAACAUUCAACAAUAGUAAAAGUGCAAGUAGUCAACAUUCAACAAUGGUAAAAACUCAAUACCAACAUGUAUGAUCACAACAUUUCCUUAUCAAUCAUAGAUUUGUGUCCCACCAAAGUUUCUGAACGGCCCACCAGUCAGUCGAGUAAACGUAUUUGUCCUUAUUGAAUUUCUCUACCUCGUCAAAAAUUAUGACUUUGUCCUCUGCGGAUUGUUCUAGAUCUGUGUACCAGAGAAUCUUAUUAAAAACACUGACAAAAGCCGUUGAUGACAUAUACAGGUGAGCUACAGGUGCAGGUGAGCUACAGUGCGCAACUUUUACUCCUGGGAGUGAAGACAUGUUAUUGUCUCCUCCAAACAUCACAUCUGUUUACAUGGUUGUAGAAACUGAGGUUUGACCAUCAAAAUGCUAAAUAGUCAAUAAUGGGUCAGUGUCUGUGGUCAUCCAAAACAUGAGUUAGAUGACAAAAACAUGGCCAACAGAAUGGUUGCUGAACAUAGGGCUGAUAUCUUGAAACACAUUCAUCAAACAACUGCACAAACAAUGGCCAUACAUCAGUGGUACUAAAACCAUCAUGCACAGCUACCAGAGCGCGGGGCUCACAAUGUGACUUCAUUCCUAUAAGGGAAUAUUGCCGAGUGUGGCAAUUAACAAACAAACAAACAAACAAACAAACA